ACAUCUUUCCGAACCUCUCUAGUGGCCGAGCCUCCGCAACACUCCCAAGUUUUACUGACGGAUAAGCCCCCACCAGCAUCGACCGGAUUCUUCACGACGGACGGACUCCACCCAAGUUUCCACGAUGAUCGACCACCUUCUAAACUUCGUCCGGAUUCCUAUGGGAGCCAGACUUCAUCUCGGACUCUGGCUACAGGAAGACUUCGUCCGGACUCCUACGGAAGUCGGAUUUCAUCCCCGACUUCAAUUGCAGGUAGACUUCGUUCGGACUCCUACGAGAGCCGGACUUCAUCCCCGACUUCAAUUGCAGGUAGACUUCGUCCGGACUCC
rnacentral:lncRNA from 1 species